UACGUAGGGAGCAAGCGUUGUCCGGAAUCAUUGGGCGUAAAGCGCGCGUAGGCGGCUCGAUCAGUCUGUUGUGAAAGUCAGAGGCUCAACCUUUGAAUGCCGAUGGAUACUGUCGAGCUAGAGUCCGGAAGAGGCGGGUGGAAUUCCUGGUGUAGCGAUGGAAUGCGCAGAUAUCAGGAGGAACACCAACGGCGAAGGCAGCCCGCUGGGACGGUACUGACGCUAAGGCGCGAAAGCGUGGGGAGCGAACAGG
rnacentral:rRNA from 1 species